rnacentral:rRNA from 1 species
AAUAGAUACCCCGGUAGUCCACGCCGUAAACGAUGAGUGCUAGGUGUUGGGGGCAUCACGUCCUCAGUGCCGAAGGAAACCCAAUAAGCACUCCGCCUGGGGAGUACGGCCGCAAGGCUGAAACUCAAAGGAAUUGACGGGGGCCCGCACAAGCGGUGGAGCAUGUGGUUUAAUUCGAAGCAACGCGAAGAACCUUACCAAGGCUUGACAUCCCAUUGACCGCGCUAGAGAUAGUGCUUCCCUUCGGGGCAAUGGUGACAGGUGGUGCAUGGUUGUCGUCAGCUCGUGUCGUGAGAUGUUGGGUUCAGUCCCGCAACGAGCGCAACCCUUAUCCUUAGUUGCCAGCAGGUAAAGCUGGGCUCUCUAAGGAGACAGCCGGUGAAAGCCGGAGGAAGGUGGGGAUGACGUCAAAUCAUCAUGCCCCUUACGUCUUGGGCUACACACGUGCUACAAUGGAUGGUACAAAGGGCAGCAAAACCGCGAGGUCGAGCAAAUCCCAUAAAGCCAUUCUCAGUUCGGA